CAGUAGCCGCGGUAAUACAGAGGGUGCGAGCGUUAAUCGGAUUUACUGGGCGUAAAGCGUGCGUAGGCGGCUUUUUAAGUCGGAUGUGAAAUCCCUGAGCUUAACUUAGGAAUUGCAUUCGAUACUGGGAAGCUAGAGUAUGGGAGAGGAUGGUAGAAUUCCAGGUGUAGCGGUGAAAUGCGUAGAGAUCUGGAGGAAUACCGAUGGCGAAGGCAGCCAUCUGGCCUAAUACUGACGCUGAGGUACGAAAGCAUGGGGAGCAAACAGGAUUAAAUACCCCUGUAGUCCCUGUCUCUUAUAC
rnacentral:rRNA from 1 species